rfam:Streptomyces hygroscopicus subsp. jinggangensis 5008, complete genome.
UGGUCUAUGGUGUAAUUGGCAGCACGACUGAUUCUGGUUCAGUUAGUCUUGGUUCGAGUCCAGGUAGACCAG